UACGUAGGGUGCGAGCGUUGUCCGGAAUUAUUGGGCGUAAAGAGCUUGUAGGCGGUCUGUCGCGUCUGCUGUGAAAAUCCGGGGCUCAACCCCGGACUUGCAGUGGGUACGGGCAGACUAGAGUGUGGUAGGGGAGACUGGAAUUCCUGGUGUAGCGGUGAAAUGCGCAGAUAUCAGGAGGAACACCGAUGGCGAAGGCAGGUCUCUGGGCCACUACUGACGCUGAGGCGCGAAAGCGUGGGGAGCAAACGGG
rnacentral:rRNA from 1 species